ensembl:lncRNA
GAAGGAAAGAAAGAAAGAAGGAAAGAAAGAAAGAAGGAAAGAAAGAAAGAAAGAAAGAAAGAAAGAAAGAAAGAAAGAAAGAAAGAAAGAAAGAAAGAAAGAAAGAAAGAAAGAAAGAAAGAAAGAAAGAAAGAAAGAAAGGAAAAAAAAAAAGGAAAAAAAGAAAAAAAGAAAAAACAAAAGAAAUAUCAAAGAGAGCCAGGUUCCAACCUGGAACCAGGUUCCAACCAGGUUCCAACUGCUAGACUGUUUGUCCAGCUCCCCAUGUCUUCUAGCACAAGCAGCAUUGCAGUGUGAAGCUUCUGGUUCAUUUAUGCACAGGAAACCUCUUAUUCGGGUGCUACUGAAAUGAGAGCUGUUUCUGCAGGCAAAAGAGGAAGAAAGCUCUGUCACAUGCAGUGUCACACCAGUGAAGUCAUGCACUGGCAUAACAGCAAGUGUUGUCAGUUGUCAAAGGCCAUCUGUAGCCAGCAGACUUAAACUGUCAUCCUGCAAAAAGAUGCAAACAAGCCUAAUGGGAGAUUGCUUUAUCCUCUUUCUGGCAUUCAAUCAAAUGUUCCCUGAACAGACAUAGAAAACAAAGGAUCACUUUUUUUUUUUUUCCUAAAGAAAAACAUUAUUUUUGUGGCAGUUUAUAUAUUUUCAAAAUGACAGGAAAAAUAGGAAGAAUCAAAGAAAAUUCCAUAACCAAAGGGUCACUCGUCAGCUGUGGAUUGCAUGUAACUCUGUUGCUCCAGGGAGAAAGGGAUUGCUCCACUGCUUGCUCUGCAGAAUAGACUCACAGACUUUUGAAUCAUUUAUGCGUUUGCUAUGUAAGUAAUUUGACACUCUACUGUUGUGCUUCCUCUUUUUUUAGGGGGGAGGGGAAGAAGUUAUUUUUAUGGUACCAAACUCUGAGGAAAAUGCUAGAAAAAUGUACAAAAUAAGAGAUCCAUUCCUUGGAGCAGGAAAUGGAUGCACACUUGGAUAUGAUACAUUAAGCAUUCUUUACAAAGUGUAGUGAUGGCUCCCUGUACACUUCAAAUAUCCUCCAGCAGGUAUCAGAUCUUCAAAUCAACCUGCAACUGAAGAGAGGAGACGUGCAGGGGGAGAGGAACACUUUCCAUCACAUGCAGGCCCCAGUGGUGUAAGGGGGGAAAUACUCUGUUCCAUAUUCCUGGAGGCAAAGACAAAUGUGCUUGUUUGGUUGGUUCUAGCGCGGACAGGGUCCAAAGAAGAAGAGCACUGAAAAGUGAAAAAUGAGUCUUGGGAUCUGUGCCUGGUACUGAUGCAAAUGAAGGUGGAACUAUACAAACAGCAACACAAUUGGGCCAUUCAUCAUUCCUUCAUUAGCAGCUUUUCUUCACAACACCCCCAUCAAAGAAAGAAAACCUCCCUUCUUUUUAUUAAAGAUCAAGAGGAUUGAAAAGAAAGCGUAAUUGGCAGAGGAGACAUGCAGUGACAUGGAGACUGCAUGCUCAGCCUGGCCUCGUUGAAGGAGUGCCUUGUAUUGCACUGAGACACAGCACCUGCACUGCAAGAGCAGCACUGAUGCAACUCACAGUCUGCCAGCACGUCAGCUGAAAAAGAGCUCUGCAGAAGUGGGAUCAUGUGAAAUUAAUACUUCCAAACAAAAAUGCAACAAUACCAAUAUCCCAGUUCUGAAGAUAAGUUCAUUCAACACCAAAUCAAAGCCUGGAAGUAGCAGCAAGCUAACUAGCUGUGUACAGAAGCCCUGCAAAAACGCAUCCAUCCAUCUUGUUGACAGAAGGGGCUCACACACACAAACUGCUUCCGCAUGAGAAUGGGAAGACAGCACAUGUUGCUCUGUACAACAGCAUACAGGGACCAGAAAUUGAUGGCAUGCAGCUGUGGGGGCAAAAUCUCUUCUCAGCCUGCCCAUGGAGACUUGAAAGGCUGACAGAGGAAAACUUCAUUUAAGCAGUGAUAUCAAAGACAUGUGGGCAAAUAAAAUACAGCAGUGUCUCUGCAAAUAACACAUAAAAUUACCAAUUAUUAUGUAUGAAAAACUAGUCUAGAAAAAGAAACGUAGCUUCAACUCUUUCAUAAUAGUUCAUAUAUGCAGCAAUUACUGCCCCAACCAAUAGCAAAGUAGAAAUUAACACAGUGGCCAAUGGAUGUUUGCAGGAAAUAAGCUGUUAAAUUAUGCAAUUGCUUUGAGAGGAAGUAUAAGAGACAUGAAAUGCACAAAAUAAAUCUGUGGAAUUGUAAAGGCUUGCACAGCAUGGAACUAGCAUGUAACUACCAUGCAAGCAUGGACAAGGCACUGCAGAAAUCACAACACGGUUGUGCUGAGCCAGUAUAUAGCUUUUAAUCAUGUAUGUGAUUACAUGAUUAAAAGCUAAAUAAUAACCAUCUACAAGGGAAGGUAAACUAAAAUUAUGUUGGCAAAUUGGAGGCAAAUUUCCUUCUCUGCUCACUCAUGCACACCUUGUUUCUGAGUUUAUUUUGUUUAUUUCAUUGUUUGGGUAAUCUAGAAGAUAGGUGUGUUUUACCAAAGGUCAGGGUCGUCACUGUGUAUGGAAUAAUACCAUAGAACCACCAAGGUUGGAAAAGACCUCCAUGAUCAUCCAGCCCAACCACCCACCCACCGCCAGUACUUCCCACUAAGCCACAUCCCUCAGUACCACAUCUGAACAGUUCUUGAACACCUCCAGGGACACUGACACCACCACUUCCCUGCGCAGUCCACUCCAGCACUCACCACUCUUUCAGGGAAUAAUUUUUUCCUUUUUUUUUUAUUUUUAAAUUACAUAAUACCAUGCACCACUAUGCUCUUCUAGACACUCUGAAAGUAUUUGCUGCUCAAUGAAACUGUCCUGCAAACAUUUCUGCAAGGUGUGCACAGCGAGCUGCAACACUGUGCAUAGCAUCUGAGAUGUUUUACUGCUGAAGUUUUGCUUUAAUUCCUGGUCAGUGCUCACAGAUUACGCAUCUGCCUCUGACUUCUUUUGCUUGGGCUUUUUUUUUUUUUUUUUUUUUUUGAAUCAGCAGCAUGGCAUUUUAUAUAAUAAUUGUCGACAGAACGGUAAUGCUGGAUUUAUGCCAUAUAUUAAAUGUACAUAAAUAGUUAACACAUUACAUACUAUAAUACACUGAGGACACAUUUUAAGCUAUUUAUGCUCCAUAUACUACACAGGAAUUUGUCUGUAGGACUAAUGAAAGGUAUUCACACUACUCUGUUACAGUAAAGCUGUUAGCAUAAAUGGGACAAACUCCUCGUGUCACAGACAGCAAAAUGAUAAAAGGUUUAGUAGGCUCUUUGGCAGGAGACAGACGGAAUAGAUUCAGCUGCUAAAAAUCAAGAUGCUGACAUUUUGUCCUUAGUCACCAGUGUUAUCUUUCUCCAUAGAAACCAAGUGUAGAACAGUGCACAUUGUCCCUCUGUCCCUUUCUAGUCAGGCUGUGUUACAACAGCCCUACUUCACAAAGAGAAAUUUAGUUCCCAGGAUUGUCUCUAAUCUAUUGCUGUUAUUAAGACACUAAGCAACAUGCAAUAAUUACAUGCUCUGACUAUCUUCUAUCCCCAUCAUAAUAACAACUGAAAAUGGGUGUAAAGGAUAUAUACAUGCUAAGGACUCACUCUCUAUGGCAUUCCUAUUGAAUCCAACAAUAAUGUUCUCAAUCAGGCAGAGAAUGCUGCCCUAGAGAAUAAAUUGCCUGAAACUCAAACAUUGUAUUGUGAUAGGUUGGAACUACACAAGGGCUUGAACAUUGUUUUAUCAGUCACAGUUUUAUUUCCAGUCCUACUGACAUUUAAGGCACCUGGGAUACAUCAGUGAAGGAUGUCUGCAUAGAACUGGGGAGAUAACUGAACCAGAAGGAAAGAAAGGGGGGAAAAGGAACAAAAAGAAAGCUCUAAGUCAGGCAAAAGCCAUUGCAAAUACUGUGCUUAACCAAAUGUGAAAAAGGGCUGGGCUGCUUUUUUUUCCAGCUCCUUCACAAUUAGUAGGCCAGAGCACUAUUCCCAGAGUUCUCUGCUCCCUCAAGAGUGCUUAUUUAAUGCAUUUUUAGUCUCUCUGUAUGUUUCAUCUGAGUGCUGAGAGCAAGAGAAGCAAGGGAUAAGGCAGGAUAUUUUAUUCUCUCCAAUUUUUAUAAGGGUAAUAGAGAAUGUUUGAACAUACGUUGCGAAGCAUGACUAAGCAAGAAAACUCAUUCCUGACAUACCAUUCCAGUUAGACCCACCCAAGACAUUACUUGUAAUUAACUGGUCUUCUGCAAAGCUUUAUAAGGGCUUUGUUUUCUAUUCAUGUUUGUUUCACAGAAGUCACUGCACUGAAGCAAAGCCUCAUCUGGAACAAGGAAGGGAUUUUUUCCUUUGGCCAUGGCCAUUCCCACUGGAAUCCUGCAGUACUGCAGAGCCACUUCUCCCCACAACCAACCUCCAGACAGUUUCAGCUCUUACACAUAGCAAUCAGUGUUAUCAGUUGGAUGCAUCUCUUGCCGUUUUGCAGAUUAAUUUAGGAAGACAUGCUGUGCAGAGAUUCUUCAGAGAUGCAUGGAAGAAAUGUUCAGGAAAGAAGACGAUAGGACCCUGCUGGCUCUGCUCUCAGCAUUCGUGGGCGCCAUCUGGCGGUCCUUUAUUAAUUAUUGUAAUAUUUUAUGAUAUAUGCCCUGAUCAAAACGACUUGGUCUUGAUGGUGAAAAUGACUCUAAGCCUGAAGUUGUUCUGACCAGACUGUGGUCCACCUUCUCAGUAUGAGCUAAAAACAUACGUCAUGCCAAGAUCUGGACUCCCAGCCACGAAUCCGUACUACCCUGCAACUCAGAAGCACAUAGAUGUGACGUUUUACUAUAUGCCUACCCCUGGGCUAGACUUACCAUCCCUGUGCUGAUAAUGGAAGCACAUUUCUAGAAAGAACAAGCUGGUGGAUGUAUAGGUCUCUGUCAGCCAAAACCCAAUGGAAUAAAUACCUCUAAGAGUCAGAUAAUCCCAUUAGGCUCUAGAGAACUAAGGUAUAAUUCAUGUGUGAAAAACGGAAUGUAAAUUUACGGAUGGAUGAAUCAGGGGGAUUUCCAGAACCAUUUCUGAACAGGAAGACCACUUAGCUGGCCUUCUUCAAAAAGAAUUUCUGUCACAUGCAGGCCCUGGAAUGAGGAAGAAAUUUGGCUCUGAUGUUCUCUGCCGAUGACACAAAACUCAAUUUGGAAAUGCAAGCUAAUGAAAAAUACAAACACGUUCCCACAACCACAGCUAUGAAGACAAAUCAAGUAUACUCACUGAAUGGAAAUUAGAAGUAUUUUUAAUAGCUGGGUGUAGCAGCAGUAUGUGUACAGCUAUUGUGGGAUUAUAUCAUCCCAAAUAUGUUUUUACCAAAGGAUCAGCUCCAAGAAUAACUAAAACCAGCACUGCAUGCAUCUCAGGGUAAAGAGGGUUUAGGUAUGUGCAACUAAUAAGAGAUGUAUAAAUCCUUAUGCACAAAAAUACUUAUGCCCAUACUUGGUGCUGAAGGAUAAUUCUGAAUAUAACCUCUCUAUUCAGACAUUUCACAAGCAGCUGUCAGAUCCUGAUUGCACUGCAGAUUCCAGCCUGGAAUGCAACUUCUUGGAUUCGAAUUCACACGACAUUACUUCUCUCUGAGCCUAAUGUAAGAUACGGACCUACUGCAAAUGCAGGGAAAGCAGUGCUUUCAUAAAAGCUGUGCUUUCAUAGCAACGCAAUGGUUGUGCUGUGCAUGAUGCAGCACUGUGGUUCUGCAUCACCCACGCUCACACAGCCAAGACUCUCAGCAUAUCACCAGUCACCUUUCUGGUCUUCUGCCCAUCUCAGUUACAAAUAUCUCAGAAGACAAAAGUACAAUAUCCCAUGGACAACACUAUUCACUCUGUUAAGAAAUAUCUCCACAUAAUCAGUGUCAUUUAUUUUUCUGCUGACACUUCAAUACUGAUAUGACUGUAAAUAAUUCCACUUGUUCUUUGGGUAUCCAUACCUCAUUUUACUAAAAAACACAUAGAAGAAGGAAAUAUAUUUAAAAAAAACUCACAACAACAACAACCAGGACUCCCUUCUUCUAGAUAUUUGCCACACCAUUCUUUGAAAGCACCAACAGUAACUCCGACUGAAACACGCAAAAGCUAUUACAUCCAUCACUCGAUGGGCCACUGGGAGGCAGUCUUUUCAACCUGAAAAAUAAAGAUAGUUUGUCUUCUGACACUCCUUUGAUAUAGUGGUUGCUUUCCCACUGUUUAUCCAGAAACACCUAUUUCUAUUUAUUUUUAUUUUUCCCAGCUCAACAUUUUUCUGCACAUCCUUAUAUUUCUUUAUCUUCUACCAUUCCUAAGUAUCUCAUCUUUGUCGUCGUUCUGUUGCAUACAUGUUUAGAAAUACUAUUAAACUCCACCCUUAUAUCUCCUCCUUUCUUGCUGCCAUCUAAGCCUGUUCUUUCAGCUUUUCCUUCUCUGCAGUUUUUUUCUCCUUAUGUACAAUAUUCUCCUUCUUUGCUGUUCCUUUCCACGAGCCACACAUUCUUUCACUGUCUAAAGAGGUAACAAAACAAAAGCAACUAUUUAUGUGCCCUACUAUGUGAAAAGUGCAUUCUUAUGGAGUAAUCUCUCACUGACAGUAAGAACAGGCAGCUUCUUCUCAAAUAUGAAACCCUGGAUGCUUUACCAUAAGACACAAAACCCCAAGUAACUGUCUCCCUCUUACCAGCUCUCACCUCCUGUUCUUCCCCUAACACUCUCACAUUAAAGCUUUCCCAAAACUACUAUGAAAACAAGAAGGUUGACCCACAAUACCAUCCACUGAAAACAAAAAGAGCAAUCCAGGCAUCAAUGGGAACUCUGACCACAAUGCAACUUGAAAAAAUAAAACACUUCUUUUGCAUGUGGACUGUGUUAGACAAAGUACAGCUUUGUGAUGUGCGUGUGUUUGCAAACCAGCUAAUGGAGAAGCAGUAAGAUAUGCAUGAAGUAAAAUCUGCAUCCUUUAUUAGAUGUGAUCAGCUUGGCUGAUUGGCAUCAAUUCAUUGGAAAUCAGAAUUGCAAAGACAGAAUGCAGUGAAGCCUACCUUGUGUUCAUGUUUGGUUAGCAAUGAAAUAAAAAUAAUAAUUAAAAAUGGUGGUGAUGAAGAGGAAUGUUUGAAAGUAAGAAAUAUUUAUUAUUCAUUGGUGUUAAAGUUAAAUAAAUUUAAG